CAGUGAUCAGAAUUGAGAAUGUUGACAUGAGUAGCGACAAACAGGGUGAGAGACCCUGUCGCCGAAAGUCCAAGGGUUCCUGCUUAAAGCUAAUCUGAGCAGGGUAAGCCGGCCCCUAAGGCGAGGCCGAAAGGCGUAGUCGAUGGGAACCAGGUUAAUAUUCCUGGGCCAGGAGAUGGUGACGGAUCGCAGAGGUAGUUCUUCCUUAUCGGAUUGGAAGGGCUGCUGAGUGGUUCCUGGAAAUAGCCCUCCAUGAGACCGUACCCUAAACCGACACAGGUGGACUGGUAGAGAAUACCAAGGCGCUUGAGAGAACCACAUUUAAGGAACUCGGCAAAAUACCUCCGUAAGUUCGCGAGAAGGAGGCCCCGUUUGUACGCAAGUAUGGGCGGGGGGCACAAACCAGGGGGUGGCGACUGUUUACUAAAAACACAGGGCUCUGCGAAGCCGUAAGGCGACGUAUAGGGUCUGACGCCUGCCCGGUGCCGGAAGGUUAAAAGGAGAUGUGCAAGCAUUGAAUUGAAGCCCGGUAAACGGCGGCCGUAACGAUAACGGUCCUAAGGUAGCGAAAUUCCUUGUCGGGUAAGUUCCGACCUGCACGAAUGGCGUAACGACUUCCCCGCUGUCUCAAAUGUGGACUCAGCGAAAUUGAAUUGUCUGUGAAGAUGCAGACUUCCCGCGGUUAGACGGAAAGACCCCAUGCACCUUUACUAUAGCUUCGCACUGGCAUCAGGAUUGUGAUGUGCAGGAUAGGUGGUAGGCAUUGAAACCGGGACGCCAGUUCCGGUGGAGCCAUCCUUGAGAUACCACCCUUCGCACUCUUGAUGUCUAACCGCGGCCCGUUAUCCGGGUCCGGGACCCUGCGUGGUGGGUAGUUUGACUGGGGCGGUCGCCUCCCAAAGAGUAACGGAGGCGCGCGAAGGUUGGCUCAGAGCGGUCGGAAAUCGCUCGUUGAGUGCAAUGGCAGAAGCCAGCCUGACUGCAAGACUGACAAGUCGAGCAGAGACGAAAGUCGGCCAUAGUGAUCCGGUGGUCCCGAGUGGAAGGGCCAUCGCUCAACGGAUAAAAGGUACGCUGGGGAUAACAGGCUGAUGAUGCCCAAGAGUCCAUAUCGACGGCAUCGUUUGGCACCUCGAUGUCGGCUCAUCUCAUCCUGGGGCUGGAGCAGGUCCCAGGGGUAUGGCUGUUCGCCAUUUAAAGAGGUACGUGAGCUGGGUUUAGAACGUCGUGAGACAGUUCGGUCCCUAUCUGCCGUGGGUGUAGGAUACUUGAGAGGAGUUGCCCCUAGUACGAGAGGACCGGGGUGAACGUUCCACUGGUGGACCAGUUGUCGUGCCAACGGCAGUGCUGGGUAGCUAUGAACGGACAGGAUAAACGCUGAAGGCAUCUAAGCGUGAAGCCCCCCUCAAAACAAGGUAUCCCUUGAGAGCCGUGGAAGACCACCACGUCGAUAGGCCGGAGAUGUAAGCGCAGCAAUGCGUUCAGUUGACCGGUACUAAUGGCUCC
rnacentral:rRNA from 1 species